rnacentral:rRNA from 1 species
GUUUAUUAAUCGACACCACUCGUUAAUUUUAACUUGAAUACUCAGCUUAUAUACCGCCGUCAAAACUAUUUUUACAAAAAUACUUUAAUAUACUACAAUUAAUGUCAGGUCAAGGUAUAGCCAAUAUUCAAGUCUAAAUAAGUUACUAUAAACACAAUUUAUAGAAUUAAGUAAAAACAACAUAAAAAAGGAUUUAACAACAAUAUUUUAAUAAUAAUUAAAUAUGAAAUUGUUUUAA